rnacentral:rRNA from 1 species
UACGUAGGGGGCUAGCGUUGCUCGGAAUUACUGGGCGUAAAGCGCACGUAGGCGGUCUGUCGCGUCGGCUGUGAAAACCCGGAGCUCAACUCCGGGCCUGCAGUCGAUACGGGCAAACUAGAGUACUGCAGGGGAGACUGGAAUUCCUGGUGUAGCGGUGAAAUGCGCAGAUAUCAGGAGGAACACCGGUGGCGAAGGCGGGUCUCUGGGCAGUAACUGACGCUGAGGAGCGAAAGCGUGGGGAGCGAACAGG